GGUUAUUUUAGUUUCUUUUAGAGCGUGCUGUUUCAUUGUGUAACAGUAGCCGCGAAUAUUUCCUUACCUAGGACCACUUCACUGCGGACCAAUUCGAGCCGAUACUGCUGCGCAAGUUUGGUACUAAAAAGUUGAAGAGAGACGCGGCGCCUACGAUCUUCAGUCAAGAGCAUUUGCAAACGUCAGAAUGCAAUGAUUCAGCCCGCUCAUCUUGUGGCCUUAAUCUACUACUAACAGCAGCUGCUCUUGUUGAUGAAGCCAAAGAGACACACUGCCCAUCAGCUACAAAU